rnacentral:rRNA from 1 species
UGCCAGACUCCUACGGGAGGCAGCAGUGGGGAAUAUUGCACAAUGGGGGAAACCCUGAUGCAGCGACGCCGCGUGAGCGAUGAAGUAUUUCGGUAUGUAAAGCUCUAUCAGCAGGGAAGAAGAUGACGGUACCUGACUAAGAAGCCCUGGCUAACUACGUGCCAGCAGCCGCGGUAAUACGUAGGGGGCAAGCGUUAUCCGGAUUUACUGGGUGUAAAGGGAGCGUAGACGGCGAUGCAAGCCAGAUGUGAAAGCCCGGGGCUCAACCCCGGGACUGCAUUUGGAACUGUGUGGCUGGAGUGUCGGAGAGGCAGGCGGAAUUCCUAGUGUAGCGGUGAAAUGCGUAGAUAUUAGGAGGAACACCAGUGGCGAAGGCGGCCUGCUGGACGAUGACUGACGUUGAGGCUCGAAAGCGUGGGGAGCAAACAGGAUUAGAUACCCGAGUAA